rnacentral:rRNA from 1 species
UACGUAGGGGGCAAGCGUUGUCCGGAUUUAUUGGGCGUAAAGAGCGUGUAGGCGGCUUGACAGGUCUGCUGUGAAAACUCGAGGCUCAACCUCGAGAUGUCGGCGGAAACCGUCUGGCUAGAGUCCGGAAGAGGAGAGUGGAAUUCCCAGUGUAGCGGUGAAAUGCGUAGAUAUUGGGAGGAACACCAGUGGCGAAGGCGGCUCACUGGACCGGAACUGACGCUGAGGCGCGAAAGCGUGGGGAGCAAACAGG